rnacentral:rRNA from 1 species
CCUACGGGAGGCAGCAGUGGGGAAUCUUGCGCAAUGGGCGAAAGCCUGACGCAGCAACGCCGCGUGAGGGACGAAGGUUUUCUGAAUUGUAAACCUCUUUCAGCAGGGAAGAUAAUGACGGUACCUGCAGAAGAAGCACCGGCUAACUACGUGCCAGCAGCCGCGGUGAUACGUAGGGUGCAAGCGUUGUCCGGAUUUAUUGGGCGUAAAGAGCUCGUAGGCGGUUUGGUAAGUCGGUUGUGAAAUCCCCAGGCUCAACCUGGGGCCUGCAUUCGAUACUGCCAUGACUAGAGUUUGGUAGGGGACCACGGAAUUCCUGGUGUAGCGGUGGAAUGCGCAGAUAUCAGGAGGAACACCAGUAGCGAAGGCGGUGGUCUGGGCCAAUACUGACGCUGAGGAGCGAAAGCGUGGGGAGCAAACAGGAUUAGAUACCCUGGUAGUCCACGCCGUAAACGGUGGGCACUAGGUGUGGGGACUAUUCAACGGUUUCCGCGCCGACGCUAACGCAUUAAGUGCCCCGCCUGGGGAGUACGGCCGCAAGGCUAAAACUUAAGAUAGACGCGNGAGAGNGCGACGACGACGACGAGGAGGAG